AGUUUGAUCCUGGCUCAGAGAUGAACGCUAGCGGCAGGCUUAAUACAUGCAAGUCGAGGGGCAGCAUGGGUAGCAAUACCUGAUGGCGACCGGCAAACGGGUGAGGAACACGUACGCAACUUCCCUAAAACUGGUGAAUAGCCCUCCGAAAGGAGGAUUAAUACACCGUAAGAUAACGAGAUGGCAUCAUUUUGUUAUUAUAGCUCCGGCGGUUUUAUGAUGGGCGUGCGCCUGAUUAGGUAGUUGGUAAGGUAACGGCUUACCAAGCCUACGAUCAGUAACUGGUGUGAGAGCACGACCAGUCACACGGGCACUGAGACACGGGCCCGACUCCUACGGGAGGCAGCAGUAAGGAAUAUUGGUCAAUGGACGAAAGUCUGAACCAGCCAUGCCGCGUGAAGGAUGAAGGUCCUCUGGAUUGUAAACUUCUUUUAUCUGGGACGAAAAAAGGCCAUUCUUGGCCACUUGACGGUACCAGAGGAAUAAGCACCGGCUAACUCCGUGCCAGCAGCCGCGGUAAUACGGAGGGUGCAAGCGUUAUCCGGAUUCACUGGGUUUAAAGGGUGCGUAGGUGGAUUGGUGAGUCCGUGGUGAAAUCUCCGAGCUUAACUCGGAAACUGCCGUGGAUACUAUCAGUCUUGAAUUUCCUAGAGGUAAGCGGAAUAUGUCAUGUAGCGGUGAAAUGCUUAGAUAUGACAUAGAACACCAAUUGCGAAGCAGCUUACUACGGAAUAUUGACACUGAGCACGAAAGCGUGGGGAUCAAACAGGAUAGAUACCCUGGUAGUCCACGCCCUAAAC
rnacentral:rRNA from 1 species